GAUGAACGCUAGCUACAGGCUUAACACAUGCAAGUCGAGGGGCAGCAUGACCUAGCAAUAGGUUGAUGGCGACCGGCGCACGGGUGAGUAACACGUAUCCAACCUGCCGAUUAUUCCGGGAUAGCCUUUCGAAAGAAAGAUUAAUACUGGAUAGCAUAACGAGAAGGCAUCUUCUUGUUAUUAAAGAAUUUCGAUAAUCGAUGGGGAUGCGUUCCAUUAGUUUGUUGGCGGGGUAACGGCCCACCAAGACAUCGAUGGAUAGGGGUUCUGAGAGGAAGGUCCCCCACAUUGGAACUGAGACACGGUCCAAACUCCUACGGGAGGCAGCAGUGAGGAAUAUUGGUCAAUGGACGAGAGUCUGAACCAGCCAAGUAGCGUGAAGGAUGACUGCCCUAUGGGUUGUAAACUCCUUUUAUAUGGGAAUAAAGUGGGCCACGUGUGGCUUUUUGUAUGUACCAUACGAAUAAGGAUCGGCUAACUCCGU
rnacentral:rRNA from 1 species